rnacentral:rRNA from 1 species
ACUACGGGUGGCAGCAGUGAGGAAUAUUGGUCAAUGGACGAGAGUCUGAACCAGCCAAGUAGCGUGAAGGACGACUGCCCUAUGGGUUGUAAACUUCUUUUAUAAAGGAAUAAAACGAGGCACGUGUGCCUUUUUGCAUGUACUUUAUGAAUAAGGAUCGGCUAACUCCGUGCCAGCAGCCGCGGUAAUACGGAGGAUCCGAGCGUUAACCGGAGUUAUUGGGUUUAAAGGGAGCGUAGAUGGGUUGUUAAGUCAGUUGUGAAAGUUUGCGGCUCAACCGCAAAAUUGCAAUUGAUACUGGGAGUCUUGAGUACAGUUGAGGGAGGCGGAAUUCGUGGUGUAGCGGUGAAAUGCUUAGAUAUCACGAAGAACCCCGAUUGCGAAGGCAGCUUACUAAACUGUGACUGACAUUGAUGCUCGAAAGUGUGGGUAUCAAACAGGAUUAGAUACCCUUGUAGUC